ensembl:lncRNA
UUUAAAACAAAACAGCUUUUUUUUCUCUUGUCAGGACACAGUCUGAUGGGCAGUUGUGUUGAAUCGCAAAAGAUCAGGACCCUGAAAAUAGGUCCAUUAGGCUUCGUGUUCGGAGAUGACCUAUAUCAUCAAGGAUGGGAGAUCAAAGAAAGCUUUCCUGGGAUUCCAUGAAGCUUGAAUCUUACAAACCACGAGAAUUAGCUCUGAUUGCGCUGCCUCCCUGCGAUGCAAAACGCGGCCAUGAAGCCACUCAUACCGGGGGAAAUGGAACGAGGUCAGCAGUGCCAACCGGCUACCUGUCGGGAGCGAGUGUUUACCUGCUCGUGCACCCUCACCUGAUUCUUUUCCCCCUCUGCAAGCCAACCAACUGGGUGUCUGGUUCCCAUUUCCAUUGCUCCGCGGGGUGUCAGAGACGCAUUGGCUGCCGAACAUAGAAACGGAUGGACCAGAAAUGCCCAUGUGUCUCCCUGAUCUGUACCGCUCGAGCCUGAGCAGACAACGGUGGUUGCAGUGGGAAACUCUGGUGUGAUUUAUGAGGAGGUCCUCCUUUCCGCUGUUUGAGUUGCCAUUGUGCACGAUAAUGAACAUGAGGCAUCGUCGGUUCAAAAAUGAAGUGUAAAAUGUUAAAUCUCUGUCAGAAGCACAGACAUGUCUGCUGUGCGUCAGUGCUAUUGCACAAGCUUAGAGCUAUACUGAGAGCUGCUCCAGGC